GCAGCAGGCUUGGCCGAAUGGUUAAGCGGUCCGCUUUGUAAGCGGCUGAUCAUAGGUUCGAUCCCCAUCUGCUCCA
rnacentral:tRNA from 1 species